CCUACGGGUGGCUGCAGUGGGGAAUAUUGCGCAAUGGGGGAAACCCUGACGCAGCAACGCCGCGUGAAGGACGAAGGUUUUCGGAUUGUAAACUUCAGCAAGCAGGGAAGAUAAUGACGGUACCUGAACAAAAGCCACGGCUAACUACGUGCCAGCAGCCGCGGUAAUACGUAGGUGGCGAGCGUUGUCCGGAAUUACUGGGUGUAAAGGGCGCGUAGGCGGGUGCCUAAGUCAGACGUGAAAUACCGAGGCUCAACUUCGGGGCUGCGUCUGAUACUGGGUGUCUUGAGUGCCGGAGAGGGAAGCGGAAUUCCUAGUGUAGCGGUGAAAUGCGUAGAUAUUAGGAGGAACACCAGUGGCGAAGGCGGCUUUCUGGACGGUAACUGACGCUGAGGCGCGAAAGCGUGGGGAGCAAACAGGAUUAGAUACCCUGGUAGUC
rnacentral:rRNA from 1 species